GGUAAGAUGGCUGAGUUUAGGCGCUAGAUUGUAAAUCUAGAUACGAGUUUUCUCUCUCUUACCA
rnacentral:tRNA from 1 species